CCUACGGGAGGCAGCAGUGAGGAAUAUUGGUCAAUGGGCGAGAGCCUGAACCAGCCAAGUCGCGUGAGGGAUGACUGCCCUAUGGGUUGUAAACCUCUUUUGUAUGGGGGGAAUAAGCUUUACGAGUAGAGUUAUGACAGUACCAUACGAAUAAGCAUCGGCUAACUCCGUGCCAGCAGCCGCGGUAAUAAUGAGGAUGCGAGCGUUAUCCGGAUUUAUUGGGUUUAAAGGGUGCGUAGGCGGCAUUAUAAGUUAGGGGUAAAAUCUUGGGGCUUCACCUCACUACGCCAUUAAUACUGUAAAGCAAGAGAACAGACGAGGGAGGCGGAAUAAGUGAAGUAGCGGUGAAAUGCAUAGAUAUAACGUAGAACACCGAUAGCGAAGGCAGCUUACCAGACUGAGUCUGACGCUGAUGCACGAGAGCAUGGGUAGCGAACAGGAUUAGAUACCCCUGUAGUC
rnacentral:rRNA from 1 species